CGGGGACGGGUGAGUAAUGUCUAGGGAAACUGCCUGAUGGGAGGGGAUACACUGGAAACGGUAGCUAAUACCGCAUAACGUCGCAAGACCAAAGAGGGGGACCUUCGGGCCUCUUGCCAUCGGAUGUGCCCAGAUGGGAUUAGCUAGUAGGUGGGGUAACGGCUCACCUAGGCGACGAUCCCUAGCUGGUCUGAGAGGAUGACCAGCCACACUGGAACUGAGACACGGUCCAG
rnacentral:rRNA from 1 species